AUUGAACGCUGGCGGAAUGCUUACACAUGCAAGUCGAACGGCAGCACGGACUUCGGUCUGGUGGCGAGUGGCGAACGGGUGAGUAAUGUAUCGGAACGUGCCCAGUCGUGGGGGAUAACGUAGUGAAAAUUACGCUAAUACCGCAUACGAUCUAUGGAUGAAAGCGGGGGAUCGCAAGACCUCUCGCGAUUGGAGCGGCCGAUAUCAGAUUAGGUAGUUGGUGGGGUAAAGGCCCACCAAGCCAACGAUCUGUAGCUGGUCUGAGAGGACGACCAGCCACACUGGAACUGAGACACGGUCCAAACUCCUACGGGAGGCAGCAGUGGGGAAUUUUGGACAAUGGGCGAAAGCCUGAUCCAGCCAUUCCGCGUGCAGGAUGAAGGCCCUCGGGUUGUAAACUGCUUUUGUACAGAACGAAAAGGUUUCUACUAAUACUAGGAGCUCAUGACGGUACUGUAAGAAUAAGCACCGGCUAACUACGUGCCAGCCGCCGCCGUAA
rnacentral:rRNA from 1 species